rnacentral:misc_RNA from 1 species
AACGCAAAUUGCACUCUCUUCGGAGAGUAUGCCUGUUUGAGGGUCAGUAUAAUUUAAAUCGGUGUGUUGCUGUUGUGACACUCCGGAGUUUGAGUUAUCUUAACCUUCAGGUUUAAGAGACUUAAAAUUGACGUUGUUUGCGCGUUUUUUAGACGUACAUAAAAUUUUUUUUAUUGUCUAUUGUAUAAUGCCAAAUCUUUACUAGGUGCAGUUAUAUUAUAUUCUUGUACCUAUAAUUCUCAUGAUUUGACCUCAAAUCAGGUAAGAGUACCCGCUGAACUUAA